rnacentral:rRNA from 1 species
GUGGCGAGUGGCGGACGGGUGAGUAAUGCAUCGGACGUAUCCUGGAGUGGGGGAUAACGUAGCGAAAGUUACGCUAAUACCGCAUAUUCUGUGAGCAGGAAAGCAGGGGCUCGCAAGACCUUGCGCUCUGGGGGCGGCCGAUGUCGGAUUAGCUGGUUGGUGGGGUAAAGGCCUACCAAGGCGACGAUCCGUACGGGUCUGAGAGGAUGAUCCGCCACACUGGGACUGAGACACGGCCCAGACUCCUACGGGAGGCAGCAGUGGGGAAUUUUGGACAAUGGGCGCAAGCCUGAUCCAGCCAUGCCGCGUGAGUGAAGAAGGCCUUCGGGUUGUAAAGCUCUUUCGGCCGGGAAGAAAUCGCAUGGGCGAAUACCCUGUGUGGAUGACGGUACCGGAACAAGAAGCACCGGCUAACUACGUGCCAGCAGCCGCGGUAAUACGUAGGGUGCGAGCGUUAAUCGGAAUUACUGGGCGUAAAGCGUGCGCAGGCGGUUGGGUAAGUCAGAUGUGAAAUCCCCGGGGCUCACCUUGGGACUGCUUUGGAGACUGCCAGUUGGAUUUGGGCAAGGGGGGUGGAAUUCCCACGUUUACCAUUGAAAU